AGCGGAGUCCUGGUCCACAUGGGCUGGUCGGACGGGGAGCAGCUGCUGUGUGUGCAGGAGAGCGGAGAUGUGCUCGUUUAUGACAUGUUUGGCGCCUACCAGAAGACAUUCAAUAUGGGGCAAGAAAUUAGGGACACUAAGGUCAGCAAAGCACAGCUGUUCCCAAAUAGGACUGGCUCUAACACCAACCGCUGAGCAACAUCUCCGAGCCCAAAGUCAGGCCCGUACCAGAUCUGCCACAUGACGACACAGAGACUGUAAGGAACGUUUGUCUUAUGCUUCUGGCAUAUGUCAGAAACGUAUCGCCGGCUCGAAAACGGAAAGGCGCAGUGGCUCUGAAGUUUUCUCGCGCGGAAAUAUGCGACGGAUUUUUCAAACAAGUGUCAUCAGAAGCACAUGUCAUUAGCUACA